CCUACGGGAGGCUGCAGUGAGGAAUAUUGGUCAAUGGACGAGAGUCUGAACCAGCCAAGUAGCGUGAAGGAUGACUGCCCUAUGGGUUGUAAACUUCUUUUAUAAAGGAAUAAAACGAGGCACGUGUGCCUGUUUGCAUGUACUUUAUGAAAAAGGAUCGGCUAACUCCGUGCCAGCAGCCGCGGUAAUACGGAGGAUCCGAGCGUUAUCCGGAUUUAAUGGGUUUAAAGGGCGCGUAGGUGGGUUGGUAAGUCAGUGGGGAAAGUUUGCGGCUCAACCGUAAAAUUGCAAUUGAUACUGGCAGUCUUGAGUACAGUAGAGGUAGGCGGAAUGCGUGGUGUAGCGGUGAAAUGCUUAGAUAUCACGAAGAACCCCGAUUGCGAAGGCAGCGUACU
rnacentral:rRNA from 1 species